ensembl:lncRNA
AGGGACAAAAGUUCCACGCUGCAAGAUUUAAGCAGUCAGUGUUGCCAUGUCCCCCAUCUGUUAGCAGAAAGCUAAUAUUGCAAAUGAGCCCUUAGGUAAACUUUACUGGCUUCUUUUUUUUCCAGAUAUUUGCUCAUGAACUGUUUUGACCUGAUAUUUGUGUGAGAGUCAAGGAACCUUGCAGGUCAUCUGAAAUGGCAAUAUAAAUAUUUCAGUGAUGAAUAGAAAUGCGUGCUGACAGACGUACCCAACAUUGCCAUUCACAGAGAGGUGCGGCGUGUGGAAAAUUUAAAACAAAAGUACCGUUUGUAUGAUUUUUCUAAAGACAAGGUCGUGUUUUGAAUUACAAAUCGAGUGAGGAAUUGUGGCACUGAGAGAGCAGAGAUUCUGCGCGGGGUUAUUUUAGUUUUCCAUCUGAGCAAAAAUCUAAUUUAGCUCCAUCCCUCCUUGACCACAUACCCAUGCAGACUCUCCCUUCACAGUGCAACAUAACUCAAGGACAGUGAGUCAGCCAGCCAAUAUGAGCCUAAUCAAAUCCAUGGUCCCGAAAUGUGAGCCACCGUGAGACUAGCAGAGAGUCGGGAUGUCACAGGGCAAGACCUUCGCCCCAUCUACCUGCUGACAGAGGCAAUGACAGAGGGAGCACGAGCAGAAAUGGGAGACGGGAGAGACGGCUUCCUUUUGUUCUGUUACCAUUUUUUCCAUGUCUGUGUGCACCAAAGCACAGAGAUGAGACACUGCUGUGCAUAAUUGCCACCUGGGGAGAGAAAAGAGAAGAAGGCAGCGUUACUGACCAAUAACGACCACGAAGCCAAGCAGACCAAGAGAAAUUCCUGUGGGUGUGCUAUUUAGGAGAACUUUUGACCACUUCAACAAUGGCUGGCAAAGUGAGCCCCGUCAUCUAGUGCCAACACAUACAAACCAGUAAGUCAAAGACCCCACAGAGGAAAGUCGUAAUUCUUCACCUCUGCCACGGAUGCCUUUUAUAGUAAGAUAUUUAGACUUUAAGCUGUCAGGCUUCAUAUUGUGAACUCGGCUAAGUGUGAAACCUUAGUUUAUCAUGUUACUUUUUAUCUUGUCAAACUGAUGUGAGAAUACC